UGGGGCGGUGCUGGAGGGUCCAGCACUUUCCACCUCCACCUCCUUCACUUCUCCCACAUCUGGUGGGGGUGGCUCAAUAGGCUGGGAGGGUCCAGCCUCCUCCUCCUCUUCCUCCUCAACCUCCAACACCUUCACGGCCUCCGCCGAUCGCGUUCUCCGAAUGGAGGGAAUAGGAACUUCUUUUAGUGAGGGCAUCUUGAAAAA